rnacentral:tRNA from 1 species
GACCCCAUCGUCUAGCCCGGUCAGGACACAAGAUUUUCAUUCUUGUAGCGCGGGUUCAAAUCCCGCUGGGGUCGCCA